rnacentral:lncRNA from 1 species
GAGCGUCGCUCGUUCAAGUCGUAGUCCACCGCUUCUCGUCACGUUGUGAGGUUAUACGCGUGUUUACGUCAGUAUCUUUCCUCCACUUAUAAAAAUUUUCGAUCAGAUUAAAAAUGUCGUGCGUUUUCGGAGUUUCGUUUUAAGUUGAUAUAAACGCGAAAGCAGUGCAAAUUAACCGCGUUUCAUCCCUUGUUUCGGGCAUUUAUUGUUGGAACGAAUUUUUACCUCUCGAUUUUUGAAAAAAAAUUCUACGGUGAGCUAUCAGACGGAGUGCUCUAUUUGCACCGGAAUCUCUAGCCUGUAAAGUCAAUUUUUCAUCGGUGACAUUUUCAGACUAUAAAAUCUAACCACCUUUUUCAACAAAUUCACAGAGAGACGUUGAAUUUUCAAGGUAAGGUAAUUUACAUCAUGUUUUAUAUUGUACGACUAAUAGUUUUUUUCGAAGUAAGUAAGUUGUUUCAAUUUGGGCACAUACAAUAAGUAUCAUUUUCUUUUUAACUAAUGUAGCAGGAAUUUUUGGCUGUGAUUUUUCAUGACAAUUCUUCAUUCGAGAUCUAAAAAUAUGUAAAGUGACGGUUACUGUACAUCAUUCCGGAUAUAUUUUUAUGAGCUACUUCAUUACGACGACAUGCAGCUCAAAGAACAAAUCCAUUU